AAUCAACGCUGGCGGCGUGCCUAACACAUGCAAGUCGAACGCGAAAGCCCCUUCGGGGGUAAGUAGAGUGGCGUCCGGGUGAGCAACACGUAGGUAAUCUGCCUUCGGGUGGGGAAUAACCAGUCGAAAGAUUGGCUAAUACCGCAUAAUGCAGCGGCACCUAAUGGUGAUUAGUUGUUAAAGCGGGGGAUCGUAAGACCUCGCGCCUGAAGAGGAGCCUGCGGCAGAUUAGCAGUUGGUGAGGUAAUGGCUCACCAAGGCUUCGAUCUGUAGCUGGUCUGAGAGGACGGCCAGCCACACUGGCACUGACACACGGGCCAGACUCCUACGGGAGGCAGCAGUGGGAAUUUUGGGCAAUGGGCGAAAGCCUGACCCAGCAACGCCGCGUGAGGGAGGAAAUCCUUCGGGAUGUAAACCUCACAAGCAAGGGAAGAGAGCUCAAGGCCGAAUAAGCUUUGAGUCCGACGGUACCUUGCGUAAGCCACGGCUAAC
rnacentral:rRNA from 1 species